UACGUAGGGGGCAAGCGUUGUCCGGAAUCAUUGGGCGUAAAGAGCGUGUAGGCGGUCCGGUAAGUCAGCUGUGAAAGUCAAGGGCUCAACCCUUGAACGCCGGUUGAUACUGUCGGGCUAGAGUCCGGAAGAGGCGAGUGGAAUUCCCGGUGUAGCGGUGAAAUGCGCAGAUAUCGGGAGGAACACCAAUGGCGAAGGCAGCUCGCUGGGACGGUACUGACGCUGAGACGCGAAAGCGUGGGGAGCAAACAGG
rnacentral:rRNA from 1 species